rnacentral:rRNA from 1 species
UACGAAGGGGGCUAGCGUUGCUCGGAAUGACUGGGCGUAAAGGGCUCGUAGGCGGCCAACUAAGUCAGACGUGAAAUCCCUCGGCUUAACCGGGGAACUGCGUCUGAUACUGGAUGGCUAGAGUGUGGGAGAGGGAUGCGGAAUUCCAGGUGUAGCGGUGAAAUGCGUAGAUAUCUGGAGGAACACCGGUGGCGAAGGCGGCAUCCUGGACCGGCAUUGACGCUGAGGCGCGAAAGCCAGGGGAGCAAACGGG